rnacentral:rRNA from 1 species
UACGAAGGGGGCUAGCGUUGCUCGGAAUCACUGGGCGUAAAGGGUGCGUAGGCGGGUCUUUAAGUCAGGGGUGAAAUCCUGGAGCUCAACUCCAGAACUGCCUUUGAUACUGAGGAUCUUGAGUUCGGGAGAGGUGAGUGGAACUGCGAGUGUAGAGGUGAAAUUCGUAGAUAUUCGGAAGAACACCAGUGGCGAAGGCGACUCAUUGGACACGUAUUGACGCUGAGGUGCGAAAGCGUGGGGAGCAAACAGG